GUUUUACGAAAAGCUCUAGAAAUUCGAAAACAAUCGUUAGGUCCAAAUCAUGUUGAUGUUGCUCAGUCUUUAAACAAUCUUGGUUUGGUGUAUUAAAAAACUGGAAACUACGACAAAGCUAAAGAGUUUUACGAAAAAGCUCUGGAAAUUCGAGAAAAAUCGUUAGGUCCAAAUCAUGUUGAUGUUGCUCAGUCUUUAAACAAUCUAGGUAAUGUGCUUAAAAAAACUAGAAACUACGAUAAAGCUAUAAAAUUUCACGAAAAAGCUCUGGAAAUUCGAGAAAAAUCGUUAGGUCCAAAUCAUGUUGAUGUUGCUCAGUCUUUACACAACCUUGGUUUGGUGUAUUACAAAACUGGAAACUACGACAAAGCUAAAGAGUUU